GGAUGUUCCUGCCACAGAAGGCAUCCAAGUCUUAUGGCAGGCACCGCUGUCACGCUCAGACUUCUCAGACUUGGUCUCAGGCUCAGCUGCUGUCUCUAUGGGGCGGCUGUGGACUCUUCAGGAAAGGGAACCUCUGCCACUCCAGUGCAGCCUGACAUUCCUGAGAUGCCUCAAGGCACAACUGAACAUAUGGUAUGCACCUGGGUAUGUGGAGCUUGAGGAAGAGCUUCACUCAUCUUUCACCUUCUAUUCUCUGGUGCUGGAUGGGGUCCUCCUUUCUGUUUUUUCUGUUGUUGUUCAUUUAUUUAAUGAUUGGCCCUGAGCUAAUAUCUGUUCCUCGCAGCAGAACAAACAGCACACAGAGCUCCUGUCCUCCCCACCGCUCGCCCCAGGCGCCAGGCUGCCGCCUGGGGUGUAGACGCAGGGAGGGUACUGUAGGG
rnacentral:lncRNA from 1 species